rnacentral:rRNA from 1 species
UACGGAGGGUGCGAGCGUUGUCCGGAAUCACUGGGCGUAAAGGGCGCGUAGGCGGCGAGGAUAGUCAACGGUGAAAGCUUGGGGCUCAACCCCGAGUCGGCCGUCGAUACUUCCUUGCUUGAGCACUGUAGAGGCAGAUGGAAUUCCGGGUGUAGCGGUGGAAUGCGUAGAGAUCCGGAAGAACACCGGUGGCGAAGGCGGUCUGCUGGGCAGUAGCUGACGCUGAGACGCGAAAGCGUGGGGAGCGAACAGG